UGUGGAGUGUUUUCAUUUUUUUUAUUGAAACAUUAUUAACAAAACACUGCAAUUAAAUAAAAGGAUUCAAACAAAUCCGACAGUGAAAUUAAAGACAUAGAGUUGAUAACAAAGCACAAGCUGAAUUUUUUUGUUGCAAAUGUUUGCGGUGUCUAAAGCGAAUUCAUUAAAUUAUAACCAUCACUCAUUCAGUGCACUUAAUAACUGAGUUGUUAAAGCAAGCAGAGCUAAGCUGAAAUAAAAUUAUUUUUACACCCAAUAAUGACCACUUACGAUUAUAAAGAAAAUAUGGACAUUGCUGUCAAAACUGUGCACCUAAAACUAAUUACAACCAAAAAGUCAAAACAUCCUGUGCAUGCAUUCAUUUGGGGGGGGGGGGGCUGUGUUUCUUUUUGUGGUACACUUCAUCCAGUUACACUAAGGUGGAAACUUUGUAAAGGACAAUGAUAGCAGAAUUUGAGCUAGUGACCACCUUACAACUUAUAGUUGUCUUAUUGGAAUGGGUGGCAGAUAAAGUACAGUAAAUGUAAAUUAAUGCGCUUCAAAAGUAAAAUCUCCAAACUAUCUAGGGAAUACCAGAGACAGUGGCACAAACCCCUUUGCUAAAUUUCACAGAUACGUAUUAGGUUUUUAUGUCAGUGUUAAAGCUGGUAGAAUGUCACGUUACACUUGCAAAUGAGGUAUAUUUUCAUUAGCCUCUCGUUAGCCUUCAGAACAUGAACACAAUUCUGCUAAAACUGCCUCAGUUACUGUGGUUCUUGAACAUUUUGGUUGUGAAGUAUUGGUAAUAGGUGUUAAGGUGAGGAAAUACUAUGAGGUUGGUUUUACAGUUAGGUCCAUUGACAACAAUAUCCCAAGGCUGCCUUGCAAUGUACCAUAGAAUGAUUUCCAUUAUGAGCAAAUGCAACACAUGAUAAAGUAAUAACUGAAGCCAGUUUGCAUGGUAUAUACACCUUAUUGAAUUCACCUUUUUUUGUUUUUUAUAUAUAUUUCCACUCUUAUUGUUAUUUUUUUGUUUUUUUUGUGAUCUUUUUUUGGUUUGUUUUAUUUGUCAUCAACCUAAAAUGCAAAUCUGAGUUAAUUUACACACCUCUGCAUAAGAGAGCAAAUGAGAAAAUCCCUUACAUCCUUUCUUUUAAUGAAAGCAUACGAAAGACCCUACAAUUCACUGUGACAUCCUGUGCGUCGCAUCUUUCUCCAUUUGGUUGUUGGUGUGGGGGGGUUGCUGUGUGGUUUCGCAGGAUCGUUGAUAUCAAUGGCUCUGUCCGGGUUUUGGGGAGAAAUGGGGAGGUUGUCAAACAUCCUCACCCACACACCUCCCUCUCCUCUUGGCAACAGUCCAAGAUCCUGGUUAUGGUAGAGGGCUGGUAGCAUGCUUGUUUAAUAACAGGAAAUAGCAUAGUUCAGUAGUUCAGAAUUGACAGAACUUUUUGAAGAAUUCCUGUCUUGCAGCUUUUCUCCUCAAGGGCUGAUGUAGGAUAAAGAGAGAAAGAGGGAUUAAGACACAC
ensembl:lncRNA